AGAUUGAACGCUGGCGGAAUGCUUUACACAUGCAAGUCGAACGGCAGCACGGGGGUAACCCUGGUGGCGAGUGGCGAACGGGUGAGUAAUACAUCGGAACGUGCCCAGUCGUGGGGGAUAACGUAGCGAAAGCUACGCUAAUACCGCAUACGAACUCUGGUUGAAAGCGGGGGACUCGCAAGAGCCUCGCGCGAUUGGAGCGGCCGAUGGCAGAUUAGGUAGUUGGUGGGGUAAAGGCUCACCAAGCCUGCGAUCUGUAGCUGGUCUGAGAGGACGACCAGCCACACUGGGACUGAGACACGGCCCAGACUCCUACGGGAGGCAGCAGUGGGAAUUUUGGACAAUGGGCGCAAGCCUGAUCCAGCCAUUCCGCGUGCAGGAUCGAAGGCCCCCCGGUUGUAAACUGCUUUUGGACGAACGAAAAGCCGCUCUCUAAUACAGGCGGUCAUGACGUACCGUCAGAAUAAGCACCGGCUAACGUACGUAGCCAGCCAGCCGAA
rnacentral:rRNA from 1 species